AUCUGGGCGGCGGAAUUCAGGAUGGCUGGCGUGCUCUCGCGGUGCGUCUGUCGUUUGAUAUUUCCGUCGCCAACUACCGCAGACGUCGCGACCUGUUCGCGGUCGGUCCUUGCUCGGAGGAGCCGCGUUCGAGUUCGUUGUGUGCGCGCUUCCGGCGCGUCACACGGCGAAGGCGCGGAUCUCUGGCUGGCCGUCGGACAGUACGCUUAACGGUGUCCGGUGUCGUCGUCUCGUACGCGCGGCAUCGGUACCGGUCAGCGACGAAUUCUUCGGGCCUCUUUCCGACCCGUCUUGAAACACGGACCAAGGAGUCUAACAUGCGCGCGAGUCGCGGGGUAUCGAGCGUACUUCGGUGCGUUCGUUAUGUUGCGAAACCCGUACAUGUCGAAGGCGUAAUGAAAGUGAAUGGGGAAGAUGGUGUUCCGAGUUCACGUUCCGCGAUCGUCGGUAUCGCGGCCGGUCACCCGCAUUCCCGGGGCGUCUCAACGGCCCGUCGCUGAUGCGGACAGUCGUCUUUCGGGGCGGCUGUCGGUCGGCGACGAACCGA
rnacentral:rRNA from 1 species